CGCACAGCUAGAAGGUCGAGCGGAGCUGAGAAGACGAAUGUUUUCCCGUUUCUUUUGCAUUUCAUGGCAAGAUGUUCAUCGAAGGUCUCAGUGGCCCAGAGGGACUAAGAUAUCGUGAAGGAAUUACUUGAAUCGGAGGUGCUGAUAAUGUGACACUCAGUCUUAUGGCAUUUAUGAAGUGUGCCUGUAGAGAUCCAUGGGUCCUGAUUACAUCUCGCAGUGAACCGACCUGAAUGGCCUGAUCGGGAGAAAAUGCCAGUUACCUGCAGCAUUAAGGUAAAAUGUUGUGCUGUUGGUAAAUGUCUUACCUUUGUGUAUAUUUGCCACAUUUUUAAUUUUCCUUUGCUGAAUGGACUAAAUUUUUUCCUGAAGGUAUCCCCGACCAGCCUGUUUCAGUGGGGUCCGCUGCACUGUGCCUCCCCUGCUGCUUCUGUAAUGGAAUGGUAAACUUUCUCAGGCGGCCUCAUCAACUGGUUUAACAACCUGCUCAAAGUAUUUGUCUUGUCAGUAUUUCAGGUAGCUCAUGUAUGUAUCUGUGUGGUGUCCAGGUCAUUUUGGAAGAAUGGUAAGAUUUUUGGUAUUGAUUACAAAGCUUUACUUUUUUUUUUCCUUUCUUGAAUUCACACUCCAGUGAUGGGAAUUAACGAAUUACAAGGAAUUUUGUCACCCCUCCUGUGCCUAUAUCAGUGAGUUCAGUCAGGUAGGUAGAGCAGGGAAAGAUGGAAAACAUGCAGAGCAGGGGGGCCCCAGGACCAGGAUUGAGAAUGUGACCUAUAUCAAUGGCCAUAUGCUAAAAAUCUGACAAUCGCUUUGCACAAUGAAAACUGCUUAUUCCAGUCAAGGGUUAGUCAUUAAAAGCUAUUCAUUAGGAGUAGCUUUGAUGUGAGUCAGAAUGGUCUUCUUUCUCAUUUAUGUGAGCAGUCACUUGCCUUUGAAAUGAUCAGCUUGAUAUGAUCAGCCUCUAGCGGCUCAAAGCUGGUUGCAUAAUUAGAAUAUCUGUGCAACCCUAUGGCCCCGCACCCUAGGUGCUGAAAUGUGGGCAGGGCUGUUAUGAAAUGCACAAAUCCCUGUGGAUUCAGGGAAGAGAUUCAGAAGAGAGAAGUGGAACAUGAGUGAUGCCUUGAUUUGACCUUGCAUAAGACAUUGCAAUUUGUACAAGUACAUUUAACAUCUGUUACAAGUAUGGACAUAAUUUAUGGGUAUUCUGGGCAGUCCCUUGUAAAUGUGUUUUUGCUCACUGUCAAGUUUUCCAGUCUGGCAUUUUUUACCCUUUUUAUAAUGUGUAUAUACUGUAAAUAUAUUAUGCAAUGUCUGCAGUUUGUUGCCUGUUGUACAGGAAGUACUCUGUGUAGUCCACCACUGUCAGCGUCUUUGUUCUGAACACUUGUUUUGUAUUAAAACAGGGUUAGGAAUGUUAAGUUCCCUGUUCAUUGCAAGGAAGCCUGUUGACCACCCAGAGGGAAUAUGUUUUUUUUGCCAGAUUCAUUUGAGUGACUAAGUGAUUUGAUUUUGAAUCUGUAAAGCUAUCUUCAGGCAGCAUAAGUAGAAACAGCCAAUAGACAUUACCAUUCUAAAGCUUUGAGUUUUCAAUGUAGGUCAAAUUCAGGAGCUGCUAAGGGGGGUUUGAAGCAAAUUAAAUUAAUACUGAAGGGCUGUGCCACAUGAGACCUUAAUGGAGUGAAAGGGGUGAUAAUAAAUGAGCAUGUUUGGAUGACGAGCAGGACUCUGGCCUAUGGAUCAUUGGCUCUACAGGGUGCACUACAUAUAUACAGAUUUCUUUAUAAGCAGUUAAGUGGAAUUUCAAAUGAAUGGAUAAAAUGAACAUUUGUUUAUUUUUUUUCAUAUGAGUUGUCAUUUGCUACAUUCAA